rnacentral:rRNA from 1 species
UACGUAGGUGGCAAGCGUUGUCCGGAUUUACUGGGCGUAAAGAGCGCGCAGGCGGUCGAAUAAGUCGAAUGUGAAAGCCCCCGGCUCAACUGGGGAGGGUCAUUCGAUACUGCUCGACUUGAAGGCAGGAGAGGGUAGUGGAAUUCCCGGUGUAGUGGUGAAAUGCGUAGAUAUCGGGAGGAACACCUAUGGCGAAGGCAGCUCGCUGGGACGUAACUGACGCUGAGACGCGAAAGCGUGGGGAGCAAACAGG